AUUGAACGCUGGCGGCAUGCUUUACACAUGCAAGUCGAACGGCAGCGCGGGCUUCGGCCUGGCGGCGAGUGGCGAACGGGUGAGUAAUACAUCGGAACGUGCCCAGUAGUGGGGGAUAGCUCGGCGAAAGCCGGAUUAAUACCGCAUACGACCUGAGGGUGAAAGCGGGGGAUCUUCGGACCUCGCGCUAUUGGAGCGGCCGAUGGCAGAUUAGCUAGUUGGUGGGGUAAAGGCCUACCAAGGCGACGAUCUGUAGCUGGUCUGAGAGGACGACCAGCCACACUGGGACUGAGACACGGCCCAGACUCCUACGGGAGGCAGCAGUGGGGAAUUUUGGACAAUGGGCGAAAGCCUGAUCCAGCAAUGCCGAGUGUGUGAUGAAGGCCUUCGGGUUGUAAAGCACUUUUGGCGGGAACGAAAAGGACUGUGCCAAUACCACGGUUCGAUGACGGUACCCGCAGAAUAAGCACCGGCUAACUACGUG
rnacentral:rRNA from 1 species